UAGGGAAUAUUGCUUAAUGGGCGAAAGCCUGAAGCAGCAACGCCGCGUGUGUGAAGAAGGCCUUCGGGUUGUAAAACACUUUUUGAGGGGAUGAGGAAGGACAGUACCCUCAGAAUAAGCCUCGGCUAACUACGUGCCAGCAGCCGCGGUAAAACGUAGGAGGCGAGCGUUAUCCGGAUUUACUGGGCGUAAAGCGCGUGUAGGCGGCACGGCAAGUUGGAUGUGAAAGCUCCCGGCUUAACUGGGAGAGGUCGUUCAAAACUGCCGAGCUAGAGUGCGGGAGAGGGAGGUGGAAUUCCGGGUGUAGUGGUGAAAUGGCGUAGAUAUCCGGAGGACACCGAGUGGCGAAAGCGGCCUCCUGGCCCGCAACUGACGCUCAGACGCGAAAGCUAGGGUAGCAAA
rnacentral:rRNA from 1 species